rnacentral:lncRNA from 1 species
CUAGAGGUCUCCAUUUAGCAGAAGUGGUAAUGACAGUGAUAUAACGCCUGGAACCUGGUUGGGCAGUAUGGGAGGGAGGUAGAAGGAAAAGUGUGAGAUUUCUACCUUUUAGUUUUUAUCCUAUGGUGGCAUAUAUGAAUUCUCAAACAUUAUCUGAAUAAAUUUUCCACCCUUGGAAAGGUAGAUUUAGCCUCAAGUUGUUUUAGUCUCCAGGAGGCUGCCAGCCCCUCCUCUUAUUUAAUUCUGAGUUUUGGGGGCCAGCCUAGGGGGAAUUCCUUUUUUUUUUUUACUCCCAGGAGGGUAGUUGGGAGUGAGACGGUAGGCCAUAAAGAAUGGGACUGCAUUGCACCAAAAUAAAUGGGAAAAUUGUGGACUGAAAAGAAGCUUUUGGGAAGUGAUGAGUCAUUCUGCACCAGGUAAUAGGGGAAAAUUAUGUGACCUCCAGCAAACACAUGAAUGGUUAUUUCCUGGAGCCGGAAGCACUUGGAGGUCGUGGUAAUUCCCAAUGUUUUCUGUGUCCUAGUUUUACCCUUUCUAAACACUGUCCUUUUUGAAAGUUUGAAUAUAUCCACAUUCUACUGAAACCUUGAAACUAAAAAUUUAGACUCUUAUCGUCAUCUUAAGCUCUUCAUGCUACUUUUAACCUCCCGAAAAGCAGUCUCUAAGUCACAUACAUGAUGUCUCGGGCAUUUUCUCUCUCAGCCAUGGAGAGCUAUGAAAGGAAGAAUCGCUGCUUUUCUCAAGCAAAUCGGUUUCUUGAUGUCUUUUGCUUCUCCCAUCAGUCCUAGAUUAGGCCCUGUUCAGCCAUGCAGGGGUGUUGGUUUAUGCGUGCUGCAGCAGUGGGCAUAAUGAAUAUAAUUUACCCAGAGGACAAAGGUGUGUACCAAGUGAAUUAAAUAAUUGCUGUGGAUUGGCCAGUAGCUAAGAAGUGGGCUUUUAAAGAGUGUUGAAGAUUGAAAAGUUUUUGUUUUAUUUUUUUUUUAAAAGAAAAAAAACAUUGGUUGUAGAUAAUGAAAAGCUAGGGUUUGCCCUCUUCAUGUCUACUCUCCUUCCAAAUAGUUAUAUCCAAAACUGUUUUCCCCCUCCCCUACUUUGUCCUCCCUUUUAAAAUAGAAACAGGGAUUGAUUAAUGUCCGGCUCCUGAAUACAUGUAAAAUUUGUACAAAAAUAUCU